rnacentral:rRNA from 1 species
AUGCGAAACUGUGAAAACAAUGUAAUCAUCGAAGAGGUGAACAAGGGCCUGAACCCUGGAAUGAUAGUCCUGCUUGUGGUUGCGACCACCCUGCUGCUUUUCUUUGUUGGGAACUAUGCGCUGUACCUGUAUGCGCAGAAGACGCUCCCUCCGAAGAAGAAGAAGCCAGUCUCCAAGAAGAAGCUCAAGAGGGAAAAGCUGAAGCAAGGGGUUUCUGCACCAGGGGAGUGA